AAAAUUACCUGGCAGGGGAGAUACCAUGAUCAUGAAGGUGGUUUUCCCAAGGCGAGGCUCAUCCAUUGCACUCCGGAUGUUCUGACCCUUGCGAUUUUCCCAAAUGUGGGAAACUGGACUGCAUAAUUUGUGGUAGUGGGGGACUGCGUUUGUGCUUUCCCCAU
rnacentral:snRNA from 1 species